GGAGAGAUGGUCGAGUGGCUUAAGGCGCACGCUUGGAAAGCGUGUGUACAGAAAUGUACCCAGGGUUCGAAUCCCUGUCUCUCCGCCA
rnacentral:tRNA from 1 species